rnacentral:rRNA from 1 species
UACGGAGUGUGCAAGCGUUACUCGGAAUCACUGGGCGUAAAGCGCACGUAGGCGGAUUGUUAAGUCAGGGGUGAAAUCCUGGAGCUCAACUCCAGAACUGCCUUUGAUACUGGCGAUCUUGAGUCCGGGAGAGGUGAGUGGAACUGCGAGUGUAGAGGUGAAAUUCGUAGAUAUUCGCAAGAACACCAGUGGCGAAGGCGGCUCACUGGCCCGGUACUGACGCUGAGGUGCGAAAGCGUGGGGAGCAAACAGG